rnacentral:rRNA from 1 species
GUAACGGCGAGUGAAGCGGCAAAAGCUCAAAUUUGAAAUCUGGCUCUUUCAGGGUCCGAGUUGUAAUUUGUAGAAGAUGCUUCGGGUGUGGUUCCGGUCUAAGUUCCUUGGAACAGGACGUCAUAGAGGGUGAGAAUCCCGUAUGUGACCGGAUACCUAUGCUCAUGUGAAGCUCUUUCGACGAGUCGAGUUGUUUGGGAAUGCAGCUCAAAAUGGGUGGUAUAUUUCAUCUAAAGCUAAAUAUUGGCCAGAGACCGAUAGCGCACAAGUAGAGUGAUCGAAAGAUGAAAAGCACUUUGGAAAGAGAGUUAAACAGUACGUGAAAUUGUUGAAAGGGAAGCGCUUGCAAUCAGACUUGCACCUGGUGUUCAGCGGGGAUUCGUUCCCCGUGUACUUCAUCAGGUUCAGGCCAGCAUCGGUUUGAGUGGUUGGAUAAAGGCCUUGAGAAUGUGGCCCUCUUCGGGGGGUGUUAUAGCUCUCGGUGCAAUGCAGCCUACUUGGACCGAGGACCGCGCUUCGGCUAGGAUGCUGGCGUAAUGGUUG